ACUGGCAGGCUAGAGUCUUGUAGAGGGGGGUAGAAUUCCAGGUGUAGCGGUGAAAUGCGUAGAGAUCUGGAGGAAUACCGGUGGCGAAGGCGGCCCCCUGGACAAAGACUGACGCUCAGGUGCGAAAGCGUGGGGAGCAAACAGGAUUAGAUACCCUGGUAGUCCACGCCGUAAACGAUGUCGAUUUGGAGGUUGUGCCCUUGAGGCGUGGCUUCCGGAGCUAACGCGUUAAAUCGACCGCCUGGGGAGUACGGCCGCAAGGUUAAAACUCAAAUGAAUUGACGGGGGCCCGCACAAGCGGUGGAGCAUGUGGUUUAAUUCGAUGCAACGCGAAGAACCUUACCUGGUCUUGACA
rnacentral:rRNA from 1 species